rfam:Gymnopus luxurians FD-317 M1 unplaced genomic scaffold GYMLTscaffold_9, whole genome shotgun sequence.
GGUGCAAUAGUCUAGUUGGUUACAGUGUCUUCUGAGAUUUCCUUGUUUCAUGGAUAAUGGGGGUUCAAAUCCUCUUUGUAUCA